GGGUUGUGUGUGGAAAGUUUUUUCGGCCAGGGAUGUGCUCGCGGCCUAUCAGCUUGAUGGUGAGGUAAUGGCUCACCAUGGCUUCGACGGGUAGCCGGCCUGAGAGGGUGACCGGUCACACUGGGACUGAGACACGGCCCAGACUCCUACGGGAGGCAGCAGUGGGGAAUAUUGGACAAUGGGCGGAAGCCUGAUCCAGCAACGCCGCGUGGGGGAUGACGGCCUUCGGGUUGUAAACCUCUUUCGCCUAGGACGAAGCGCAAGUGACGGUACUAGGUAAAGAAGCACCGGCCAACUACGUGCCAGCAGCCGCGGUAAUACGUAGGGUGCGAGCGUUGUCCGGAAUUAUUGGGCGUAAAGGGCUCGUAGGCGGUUUGUCGCGUCGGGAGUGAAAACCACAUGCUUAACAUGUGGCUUGCUUUCGAUACGGGCAGACUAGAGGUAUGCAGGGGAGAACGGAAUUCCUGGUGUAGCGGUGAAAUGCGCAGAUAUCAGGAGGAACACCGGUGGCGAAGGCGGUUCUCUGGGCAUUACCUGACGCUGAGGAGCGAAAGUGUGGGGAGCGAACAGGAUUAGAUACCCUGGUAGUCCACACCGUAAACGUUGGGCGCUAGGUGUGGGACCUAUUCCAUGGUUUCCGUGCCGCAGCUAACGCAUUAAGCGCCCCGCCUGGGGAGUACGGCCGCAAGGCUAAAACUCAAAGGAAUUGACGGGGGCCCGCACAAGCGGCGGAGCAUGCGGAUUAAUUCGAUGCAACGCGAAGAACCUUACCUGGGUUUGACAUACACCGGAAAGCUGCAGAGAUGUGGCCCCUUUUUGUCGGUGUACAGGUGGUGCAUGGCUGUCGUCAACUCGUGUCGUGAGAUGUUGGGUUAAGUCCCGCAACGAGCGCAACCCUCGUCCUAUGUUGCCAGCACGUUAUGGUGGGGACUCAUAGGAGACUGCCGGGGUCAACUCGGAGGAAGGUGGGGAUGACGUCAAGUCAUCAUGCCCCUUAUGUCCAGGGCUUCACGCAUGCUACAAUGGCCGGUACAAAGGGCUGCGAUCCCGUAAGGGGGAGCGAAUCCCAAAAAGCCGGUCUCAGUUCGGAUUGGGGUCUGCAACUCGACCCCAUGAAGUCGGAGUCGCUAGUAAUCGCAGAUCAGCAACGCUGCGGUGAAUACGUUCCCGGGCCUUGUACACACCGCCCGUCACGUCACGAAAGUCGGCAACACCCGAAGCCGGUGGCCCAACCCUUGUGGAGGGAGCUGUCGAAGGUGGGGCUGGCGAUUGGGACGAAGUCGAAACAAGGUAGCCGUACCGGAAGGUGCGGCUGG
rnacentral:rRNA from 1 species